UACAGAGGGGGCAAGCGUUGUUCGGAAUUACUGGGCGUAAAGGGCGCGUAGGCGGCCUGUUAAGUCGGACGUGAAAUCCCCGGGCUCAACCCGGGAACUGCGUCCGAUACUGGUAGGCUUGAAUCCGGGAGAGGGAUGCGGAAUUCCAGGUGUAGCGGUGAAAUGCGUAGAUAUCUGGAGGAACACCGGUGGCGAAGGCGGCAUCCUGGACCGGCAUUGACGCUGAGGCGCGAAAGCCAGGGGAGCAAACGGG
rnacentral:rRNA from 1 species